GGCGCUAUGGUCAAGUGGUUAAGACCGGCUUCUCAGGCCGAAAUCGAGGGUUCGACUNCNUCUAGCGCUACUA
rnacentral:tRNA from 1 species